CUCUGUUUAGAGUAGAAUGGUCGAGUAAUUUAUUUUGGUGGAGAGAUUGAAGCUGAAACGAGGGGAACGAAAAUGCAAGUGGCUGUGCGAAUGACACACGUCUCUAACCUAAAUUUCGGGCGAUGGAUCACUCAUUCGGACCGAGUAUGAAACACACCAUGAAUGGGGGAACUGCGAGCGAGUACGGCAUUCGAGAAUCGAGAAGGGGAAAAAUACUAUGAAAAAGAUGUCCAACAUGGAGGGAAUCGACCUACGGCACUUUAUCGGAAUACAUUUUUUUUCCUAUCUACUGUAGAAAUCAUGAAAACUUUCGAACUAUUACACAACUUCAAUAUAUCCCGAAACCAUCAAUUAUCUUGAGGUUUUUUCAAUUAAAAAUGAAUACCUUUUUUAUCUAAUUGUCCAAUUAUCUAACCUUAAUUGAUGGAAUAAUCAUUGACAAAUAAUUUAAUCUAAAACCGGAUAUGACGUUCGCGACAAUGUUACCAUCGGCCGCCACUCCGGUGCGCUGCCAUCGAUAAAAAUUUGAAUUCGCCCCCGCUGCAUUACAGAUUUGUAAAAAAACUUGGACAGACAAUUUGAA